rnacentral:rRNA from 1 species
CUAAGAAUAUUCCGCAAUGGACGAAAGUCUGACGGAGCGACGCCGCGUGGAUGACGAAGGCCGAAAGGUUGUAAAAUCCUUUUGUCGGGGAAGAAUAAGGCGGGGAGGAAAUGCCCUGUUGAUGACAUGAACCGGCGAAUAAGCCCCGGCUAACUACGUGCCAGCAGCCGCGGUAACACGUAGGGGGCAAGCGUUGUUCGGAAUUACUGGGCGUAAAGGGCAUGUAGGCGGCCUUGUAAGCCUGGCGUGAAAGUCCACGGCUCAACCGUGGGAUUGCGUUGGGAACUGUGAGGCUUGAGUUAUGGAGAGGGAGCUGGAAUUCCUGGUGUAGGGGUGAAAUCUGUAGAGAUCAGGAAGAACACCGAUGGCGAAGGCAAGCUCCUGGCCAAUGACUGACGCUGAGGUGCGAAAGUGUGGGGAUCAAACAGG